CGACAACUUGUGGCAAGUAUUCCCACAGCUGAAAUUGAUGUUUGAAGGAGGAGCUCCUUUUCCUUGCUUUGAACUCAUCACAUGCUAUCUUUAUUUAAUGAGCGAGGCUCGGAUGCUCUUCCACUGCUUGCCUGAUCACCUCAAAAGUUUCUGUCAGUUCUGCUGAUUCUCCUCAUUUCUUCUUAGAAAACUAGCUCUGAAAACAGGCUGCCUUUACAGGUGGCUGUGGGAUUUGGUGAAAAUUCAGAAGUUCCGGGCACGUGAGAAGGGUCUGCUUUCUUCAUACUUCUGCUGAAAGAAGCAAGUGAAAACCACCUGUUUUACCCAUCAAGGCCCAUGGGAGCCACCCAUCUUCAAUAAUCUUUCUUGGAAAUAAUUUGGGAGUCUGUAAUCACACCUCCUUCUUCUAGGGAGCCACUGUUCCCUCACCACAGGGCAGAGGAGGGUGAGGAGCUGCCGAGAGCGAGCAUCCAGAGCAGGGUCCUGCCUCUAUAACCUGCAGAUGUGAAGCAGUGGUUUCAAACUCAUCAGGAGGGCCCUUUUGAAUUUCAGGUUGGUUCACAGAAUCAUGAGAGAGAUUUCAAAGGCAAUCAGAUGCUGCUGACACAUGUCAUAUGCUUCUGUCAGGCUGGGACCAUUCAGCCCUGCCUGAAAUAGGAUAUGAGUGACAAAAGGGACAAGGAUGACUGUGUAGAAGAGCUUCCCGGGGGCACAGAUUUUAAGAUAGUCCGUUGCACAUGUGACACACCAUGGCAUUGUACAUCUAAAAGGCAGAAGAGCACGUGAAAAAGAGAAGCUUAGGACAGGGCUGGAUGAGUAGUUCCUGUUCCAUGGGAUGAAUCCAUCCCAUGUGCCAGCCAUCUGCAAGCAGAAUUUCAGCUGGAGGAUCUGUUGCACUCAUGGGACAAUGUAUGGAAAAG